CUAAAGAAAAUACUUGGAAAACCCAAAAAGAAAACAAGGCAAGACUUAUAAAAAGGGACACAGAUAGAUCACACAAAAUGCAACUUGUAAAUAGUUCUACAGAUUGCAUGAUAAAUCACAUUUUAUUUGUUGUUUUUGUCAAACAGGUACAAAUUAGCAAGCAACAUAUUGCUGAGUUAUUACAAAAACAAAUUUAAUAUACCUGUUGCCAACCAAUCAAUAAUAAUACUCGGGUUGAGUAUAGGUAUAUCGCCAUUACAACUAAAUAUCUAUACAAACUUGUAUUGAUAUUAUAUCAUUGUUAGCAACAAGCAAUUUAUUAUCAUAGCAUUCCUCAUGACUAUUGGUGGCGUAUCAUAAUAUCUUUAUAUAUAAAAGAGACUUUCCUCCUGGUAGUGCCAGCAGGGACGACACGUCAGAAAUAGGAGGCCUCCCGCGCUGACACGUCAGAUACGCUCCGUAUCACUAAAGCUUUAUUUUGUCUAAACGGGCUUCACAUGGGUUUAUGUCGUGCUAAUCAUAAUAUGAUAUGUUUGUAACGCUAUCGUUUUGGAUUCCAUGGUUUCGUUACUCUCUUCUCCGUGUAAGGGUUUCCAUCGAAUUUUCCAUCUUCUUCCUACCAAUCCAGAAAUCCAUCGGUUACCGAAGCUUUGUCUUGAACGCAAUCAUUAACAAAAGCUCUACACCACUCUCACGAUCUGUCAUUAAAUGGAUCUCCGUUGCUUUAUCUUUGUGAAAUUCGAGUAUAAAAAGGCAAGCCUCAUGCAAGCCACCGUGUAAACAAGGAGGCAGGGCACGCUGCAUACAAGAAGGACGUCGAAACAACUAUCAAGCAUUACUCCACAGCCAUAGAGAUUGACGAUGAAGAAAUCUCUUUGAUCACAAAUCGUCAUGCUAUUCAUCUGAAGAUGGAAAGGUGUUGUCUUUUAUGAAUUAAUAGAAACCUUAGACCAGUUGUGUUUAUAAGGAAUAUAUUUGAAUCGCUUACAUAACUGUAUAGACCAAACAAAAUCACAAUAAUUCUUCAGUAUAUCUUUUCAUAUUUUCUUCGGUGUUCAGUUCGUGAAUCAGGAUGGUGAUGAAGCUGUGGCUCAAGAGGAUGAGAUGGUUGAAGAAGCCUGAGAUAGAGAAGAAACGAGAUUCGGGGCCGGAGUUUGAAAAACAGAAGGAGAAGAAGGAAAGGAAGCAUUAAGCUUUGAAGGAGAAAGAGAUGGAGAGACCGAAACAAGAAGAGGUGAAGCGUUUAAAGAGGGAGGCUGUCGAGGCAGAGAAGAAUAAGAAAAAGAGAGCACAAAGCGUCAAGUUGCAGAGCGGGAAGCUGCUAGACUGAGUAUGAGACAAGAGAAGGCAUUUCCUCUUGACGGGUUCUGAGAAAUGACAUGAUGCUACACAUAUAAGUACUCCUUUCUUUGCAACUCAUAACUUAUACUUCGCUCAUUAAAGGUCAAACUAUUAGUUAGUCUAUGUGAUGGUAUAAAACUUUAAUUGUAUCACAAAUCUAUCUCUAUAGAUUUAGGAGUCAUCAAAAGUUGUUUGACUCUUUGUUGAUGGUAGAUGAAUUCUCUGGUAAGUUCUUUGAAGAAACAUAAACAUAUAGACAUUACAUUUUAUACAUUGAUGAAUUAGAAGACCUGUUUUAUGUAAUGUGUCUCAAACAUUUGUUGAAAAUAUAAUGUUCAGUUUUAGAAACUGUUAAAUUCCCAGCUCUUUUUCUGUCAGUGUGCUUUUUAGUCUCAUAAAUCAUAUUUCCUUGAACAUUCCCAUGUGAUCUGAUACCAAGUUCGUUUUGUGAUUAUGGUGUUCAUUUUUUGCUCUCACUUGGCUUUUGUUUGUUUGUCUCAUCCAAGUCUUUGAUACUGAUUAAAGAUCAUGAUGUUGCUGUUGCAGAUGGCAUCAUGCUAAUAUGAUUAAGUUGAGAUUCUGGUGGACUACAUUUGAGUGGCGAAGCUGUUAUAGUUCUUAAUGGGAUAAGGUACUUUCAUGUCUCGGUUGCAUCAACAGCUCUGACCUUUGUGGGGCCUCAAGUAUGGCCAGAGCUGUCUCUGGAUAGGCUUAGAGCAGAUGGGCUGAUUCCCAAGAACAUUUCUUUAAGAGACUCCGAGGAUGAGCUUGAAAUGCUUCUGGGUUAUUACUUUAUAUUUGUAAAUUAUAAGCCUUCCUGAACAUUACAAAUAUACAAAUAUAAA